rnacentral:lncRNA from 1 species
GUAUCAGAACAAAUUCCAGUAACAUUACUACAAGCAGAGAAUGAACCGAGCAUGGGGCGGCCAGUGCCUUGAUAAAACUCUAGACGCGCCUUCAAAUCAUCGAUGUCAAUCAUUCCUUCUUUGUCUAGACCGAUCUCUAUUACUUCUGCUAGGCUUUGCCUCCAGGAAAGGAGGUUGGAGUGGUGUUCAUAAGGACCAACAAAAACUACCCAUCUUUCUUCACUUCCUAUACAUGUGUUCAAUAUUUUCUCUUUCAAGAUUGAUGGAACAGCAAUUCCCAACACUUCUUGAAGCCGUUUUAUAGCGGCUGUAGUGCCUGAUCCACAGAAAAGGAGUGCAUCAUGUUGGGUUCCUCCUAAGCAUUUCUUCACAAAUUCAGUUGCCUCAUGGAGCAUUUUCAUCGUCCUAUCGCCAACAUAGUUGUCAGAUGUGUUACCGUAGAAGGGAAGAAGAUUCUGGAUGAUAUAUUCUUCAAUGUAACGAAGACAACGGCCUGAGGCUGUAUGAUCUGCAUACGUAAGUUUACGCGAUCCAAACGGAGUCUGAAUCUCAGCCAACCCGCCUAUGAUUUGUGAUCGCAGCCACCUUAGUUUUGCUUCAACACACGUAUCACUCUUUGGUGCGUCUCUGUC